AGGUGAUAAUUUGUUUUCUAUUGAAGUACGAAAUAAUAACAAGUAUUUUUUUCCUGUAUUCGAAUUAGUUAAAAUUAUUUUUAAAAAAAAUUCGUCCGAUGAUUUUGGAAAUUUUACCAAGUCUAGGUAAGUCCAAUAUAAGUAUUAUUACCAAAUUCCAAGUCUAUACGUGUGUUUAUAACCGAAUAUCAGCAACAAAACUCCCGAAACUUAAAAUUUCUUAAUAGCUCAAAAGUGGCUCAAAAGUUUUAACGAUGAUACCGUAAUAAAGUAAAU